UGGAUUUAUCGUGCGUUCUUAGAAAGAAAGAAAGGCAUAUUCUUAGAAGAUAAACAGCACUCUACUCUUAUUAUUAAUUAAUUAUCCAAGCACCAUACAUGUUUCUUCGAGAACGAAACAGCAAGAACGUUACACGUACACACACUGGAAAUGAAAAUAAAAUUACUGGUCAGCUAAGCCACAGGUAAAACUAGCUACACAGAGAGCAUCCUUCCGUUACAUCAUCAUCAUCCCCUAUGGAUAUGCUUAUUCAUAUAUUGCUAGGCUUAGCUUCGAGCUCUUCAUAUAUAUGAUCGACUAAGGACGGUGAUGAUCAGGUGGUGGUGCACGCGGACCUGGAGGAGGAGGUUCACGGUGUGGUGGACCGGAUGGUGGUGCAUGCGGGCCAGGAGGAGGAGGAGAAUGGCCACGAGGGGGAGGAGGUUCACGGUGUGGUGGACCGGGUGGUGGUGGGUGGGGCUCUGGCGGUGGGUGGCCGGGCUGGUGACGGGGCUCUGGCGGUGGGGGAUUGUGCAUCUUCUAAUUUCUUUCUUCCGACCGCUCUUUGUUUUUGUUUGAUAUGGAUGUGGAGAAAUGUAUUGAGAUAGUCUCUGAAUUUAUACAUGUGAAUGGAUAGGGCUAAGCUAGUUGGGUUGCAAAGUUUAGUGUUUCAUGAAUUUGUCCAGUAUC
rnacentral:lncRNA from 1 species